CAGUGGCCAGAGUCGACGGUUGCGUAGUUCUCCCCGCCCCCAGGGGUCGCCUCUCCGAGAAGCCACGCCCAACUGCUACCGGACCGGCUCUCUCUCUUUCAGCGGCUUCCGCGCGGUCCCAAGCGCAGGGCCCUAGGCCGACUUUGGACUCCUGACUCCCCUGCUCUGUCUCCUCGCGGGGGCCGCCGCCCCACCUCGGCCAGCGCCGCCGGGUUUCCUCCGAGGCCGCAGGGAGCGUGUCCCGGCAGCGGAGGUUGCUCUGAAGCGCGCGCGCCAAGCCCCAGACGAGCUCGCUCAGCCCUCCACUCGGGCAGUCGGCGGAGGCGGAAUCCCCCGCACAACUUCACAAGGAUGGGUGGCGUUGGCCCUCUGAGUUGCGGAUCGGGGAGCUGGCUCGGGAGGCAGGGCUGUGGCUGUGGUUGGGGAGCCCGGACGCCUCGAGCCCGAGCGAGCGCCCACGCCGGGUGCUGGCUGCCCAGAGCGGAGGUGGGGACGCGCGGCCCCGGGGGCGCAGAGGCGACCCGACCCGAGGAACUUCCGCGGCCUCCGGGCGGAGGGGGGACGCGCCGAUGUGGACGCCCCUGGCCUAACAGUGGCCUCUGGUCUGUAACGCUCUCGGGAAAUUUUUUGCACGACAGACAGUUUAGCGAAAGUUCCUCUCCGCCCCCACCCCCCAGCCUCCAUCUUUUGGGGAUCAUUUUAUUUGCUAAAUAACCUUAUCGGUGCCUAACACUAACAUUUUGGAUCCUUGUGCCGGUGUGAAUUCCCGGUGAUUUCGAGGAACUUAAUAAGCGACCACCUUGACAGGCUUUCAACAUUUUUAUUUUUUUUUAGUUUUGUUACAUAUUUAAGGUUUAAGGGCCUUUAAAAUGUUUCUCUCACAUUGUAGGUUUUUUUUUUUUAACAUAGCCCCAAUUUUUAAUACCCAUCUGGAUUUUCUGAGGGUUAAUUUUUUUAAAAAGCUGGGUUUGAUUUUAAAUCCUUAAUGUGUUUGUUUUGAGUUUUUUUUUUUUAAGAUUUUAUUUAUUUAUUUGACAGAGAUCACAAGUAGGCAGAGAGGCAGGCAGAGAGAGAGAGGGAAGCCGACUUCUCGUUGAACAGAGAGCCCAUGCGGGGCUCAAUGCGGGGCUUGAUCCCAGGACCCUGAGAGGGAGGCAGAGGCUUAACCCACUGAGCCACCCAGGCGCUCCAUUAAAUCAUUAAUGUUUUAAGUCCUAUUCCAGCCCAGCUAUAUAGCAGGAGUAUGUAAAAAAUAAAAAUAACAUUGUAACUCUGAAAUGUUGGGACGUCUAUGGGAGAGCAUACACUGAGCCCUUUAUCUCACAACUUUAUACCCUAAGAAGCUAAUUUAUAAUUGAAUAAAAGGCUGAACUGAAGCCCAAGUCAGUUUCAGCAAUAAAACAGGGAAAGGGAAUUAUUUUCAACACAUUUGAGACUGGCAAAGUAUAUGAAAGCCAUUCUUCCAUGAAAUUUACCAUUUCUUUGCAUUCUUUGGCUGUAACGUAGAAAUCGCUACAAUCAGGAGAAACCUUCGUAAAGACUUUUAUUAACAGUCCUUACUCCCUUUUGCUGUCCUCUUCAACUUCCCUGGAAUCUUUUACCCUAUCUCACUUACCUCCCACGUUUCUAAAGCAUGGGCUGAAAUACUUCAGGCAACCAGUAAUUCUAUUAGCCCAGCUAGAUCCUCCACAGGCUCCUACUGAGUCACCUGUCUAGAUCCAGGUGUCUCAUGUAGUAAGAUAAUACCUAUUGGGAGGUGAUUUUUAUAUGUGACCCAGGCAGAAGUUCUUUGGCAACAAGAAGCCAUUUGGUAGGAGCUCUCAGCGAUACCUGACCCAUGAAUUUUAUAUUAGAAUUCAGAUUUGUAAAAUAAGAUGAUGACAUUUGUCCUUCUAUCUAUGGCCAAUAUUAGAAAAUGCAGUGAUCAGAGCUUUUGCAUAUAUUUGACAUAUAUACAAUGAUUUAAUGAUUCUGCUUGUCUUCUGUCAGCUGGACAAUUUGCUAUUUAUACCCCAGUGCAUUGUUUCAGACCUCUCUCCAUACUGCAACUCACUAGACCAACUCAACUUUUUUCCCACCCUUUAAAAUUGAGAGAGAGGAUACAUUCAUUGGGCAAGAGGGAUGUACUACUACAAUGCCUUUCUGGGAGUCGCCCAGAUGGAUGUCCCGGGAUACAUUCCCUCUACAUUUUUUAGCUGGCAUUCUUCUGUAAAGAAGACCUUUCCCUGCACUCUUCUCCACACUUUCUCUUUGAACAUUCUUAUGGACUUGGAUUCUUUUUUUAGUCACUGUGUACCAUGCUAUUCUUUUUGAUACUCAAAUUCUGCUAGGUGUAGGUAUGUUUAGUUGGGAAAAACUACCCAGAUGAUUCUAAUAAGACACCCUAGGAAGGUAUUCCUCCCACCAAGCCUACCUAUUGAGAAGAGGUAGGCUUCUCAAUCUGCUCUAGAUUCUCUGGUAUUUUACAUACCAUGCCCAACACUAAUGUAUGGCACCUUUCCUGGGAGACUAGUGUUUGGUUGAAUUCAGAGUCUCCCUGGAGCUGUGGUUUCAUUUGUCAGAGAGAUUCUUAGGGACUUAGAUGGACCAGAUGGCCCAAGUUCUCUCACUUGUACAUUGAAAUGUGGAGAAGCCGUGGAAUCCACAAAUCUUUGAAGCCUGUCCAGAAAUAAGCCUGAUUCUAAAGUGGGUUGAUUUGGAAAAUCCUCAGGCUACUGACUCCUGUUAGAAAUUCAGGAACUAGGGGCACCUUAGUGGCAAGGUCAGUUGAGCAUCUGACUUGGUUUCAGAUCAGGUUCUGAUCUCAGGGUUGUGAGAUCAAUCCCUGAGCUGGGCUCCAUUCGGAGUCUGCUUGGGAUUCUCUCUUUCUCUGCUUCUGCCCCUCCCCAUCUCUCUCUCUCCCCCUUCUCUCUCAAAUAAAUAAAUCUUUAAAAUAAAAAUUUCAGGAGCUUGAUGACAUUAGAUACUUGCCUGGGUCUGUGGGAUGUCUACAAAUAGACCUUGUGCCCAACUGUUCAGAAAGGUAAAGGCUGUCUCCCCAGAAAAGACAACACUGCUUCCUAGGGACUGAUGGAGAGGUAGAGCUGAAAUGUCAGAAGUUUGGCUUGCUAGAUAGAAAAUCACUAUUCCAGUAGUGUUCUCUGGAAUGGAAUUUGCUGAAUUCAUAUACUGCUUUAAAUAUGGUUACAUCAAAGUACUGGUGAGCUGUUAGUUGUCAACCCAGGUCAAACCCACUAUCUCUUAUAUUUUUGCUCAUAAAAGAAGCCCAUUUUUUUUUUCCCAAGCAUCCAGCCUUCUCCCAAAGAUCCCAUAUCAUUUGAGGGGCACCUUUGCCAGCUCCAUAGAUAGAUCUUGAGCAGUAACCCAAUCAGGAUAGCCCAGAUUUCUUGCCAGUUGGUUCAAAAAUCUGGAGCUAUUGGGAUACAUCAAAAGGACACCCAAGCCAAUAAACUCUGGCACACAGAGAGGCUCCUACUCAGCAAAUCUAGCAGAAUUUGAGUAUCAAAAAGAAUAGCAUGGUACCCAGUGACUAAAAAAAGAAUCCAAGUCCAUAAGAAUGUUCAAAGAGAAAGUGUGGAGAAGAGUGCAGGGAAAGCUCUUCUUUACAGAAGAAUGCCAGCUAAAAAAUGUAGAAGGAAUGUAUGAUGAGGAAACUACCAUUUUGCAACCACCAAUGUAAUAAUCGAUUUACACAUUUUCACCAUUGGGUACAAAGUUGCUAGGAAGCAGAACAUUCAUGUGUUCUCGACACCUCAGUUAAAAGCUUCAGAAAGCUACUUUUUCAUCCCUAAAUCUGAUGGACACCACCUUAACUACGUGGUCACAAUAAGCAUUACUGAUAAUGGGAUAAUCUAAUACCAUAUUCUUCCUCCUGUUGUGGAUGCCACUGGAAGAACAUACUACUUGGAAAAAUCUUGCCAAAAUGUUUACGCUGAAUGUAAUCAUGGUGAAAUAAAACAAAUCAUACAAGACAACUGGCCUGAAUCUUAAAAAAUAUCAAUGUCAUGAAAGCAAAGGUAGGCAGGGGACUACAUUGUCCUAAACUAAAGAAAACUAAAGAGGAGCACCUGGGGGCUCACUGGGUUAAGCCUCUACCUUCAGCUCAGGUCAUGAUUUCAGGGUCCUGGGAUUGAGCCCAAGCAUCAGGCUCUCUGCUCAGCAGGGAACCUGCUUCCCUCCUCUCUCUCUGCCUGCCUCUCUGCCUGCCUGUGAUCUCCCUGUCAAAUAAAUAAAAUACUAAAAAAAAAAAAAAAAAAAAGGAAAAGAAAACUAAAGAGGCACGAUGACUAAAUGACCAAAGAGGCAUGCCAAGGGGCAUGAUGACCAAAUCAAUGAUCAGUGAUUGGACCGUGGGCUUAAAGGCUUAAAACAAAACAAAAAAACCUUCAGGGCACCUGGGUGGCACAGCUGGAGGAGCAUAGGACUCUUGGUUUCAGGUCAGGUGGGGAUCUCACGGCCAUGAAAUUGAGCCCUGCGUGGAGCCCGUCAUCGGGAUUGUUUCCCUCUCUAUCCACCCCUCCUGCUCGUGCUCUCUCGCUCAGUCGCUCACUCUUUAAAAUAAAUAUUUAAAAAAAAAACUCUAAAAGACAUUUUGGGGAUUAUUAUGUAAGUUUGAAUAGGGACUUAAAAAAAAAAAAGAUUUUAUAUUAGAGAGCCAGUGAGUGGGGGGAGGGGCAGAGAGGGAAUCCCAGACUCCAUGCUGAGCAAGGAGCCGGAUGCGGAACUCCAGCAGAGCUCAAUCCCAGGACCCCGGAGAUCACUGCCCAAGUCGAAAUCAAAAGUUGGACGCUUAGCCUGCUGAGCCACCCAGGAGUCCCUUAAAUACGGACUUCUUGUUAGGCAUCAUUGCUUUAUCAAUGCUAACUUUCUUGGGUGACAUAAUGACCUUGUGGUUAUAUAGAAAAAUGUCCUUGUUUUCAGUUGGUAUCUGCUGUAGCAUUGAAGGUUUAAACGUCAUGGUAUCCACAACUUAUUUAUUUAAAAAUUAGAGAGAAAUCAAGUGUGGCAAAACAUUGACAAUAGGCAAAUCUAGGUGAAGGGUAUAUGGGUGAACACUGAACCAUUUCCCCUUUCUGUAGGUGUGAUUUUCUUUUCAAAAUAAAGUGAGAAAGUGGAGAUUACAAAUACAGAUCUACAGGAUGAGUAAAAGGCACAAAGUAUAUAUAUUAAAUUUAUGAAUGUCGCUUAUCCCAUUUCAAAUUAACUGGUUUUAUAAAUGGGACAAAACAUUAAUCAAAGUCCUCUUUAAAACUAUAAACAAAAUGGAAUAGUAAGAUUCGUGAAAGGAACAGGGAAGCCUAAUGGAGAAUUCAUUUUCUAAAUUUGUUACCUCCGUAUAUUGACCUCCCUGAAAAUUAAAGAGUGAAGCUGGUCAAGAUCAACCUGUAAAGGCUUGCAGAAUCGAAGUGUCCCAAGAGUCAAUUUGGCAACACGUUCCAAAGCAAGAACGUGGGAUCUAGCCAAAUGCAAGCAAGGUCAUCCUCAGGCAGAAGCAUUUCUAAAGAAGGGUGCAAAAUAAUCUGCUGGAACCAAAAUAGAGAAAUUUUGGUUAAGUACCAGGAGGAUGGUGUUCCAUGGGGAGCAUGUUAUAAUUAAAUUACCUUCAUUUUUCUUAUCUGCCUUCUACCAAAAGCAAUUUAAGGAGAUUUCUUGUAAUCUAACUAGGGAAAAUGGAGAGUCAAUGCAUUUGUUCAAGUUAAUGUGGGACUUCCCCGUGUCAACCAUCGUUGCAUCUGAUGGAUAGGACUUUGCUGUCCCCAGAACGACACACUUUGGCAGAAGACUGAGCUCUUUAGGCUUUUCCCUCACUCCCAUGGAAAGUCUUUAAGACCAUGCAGUUUUCACCCUAGGAUUCUGACUCGGAACCUAAUAACCUUUGAAUUAGCAAUUCAGUUUCCUAUUGACUUAAUGCUGGAAGGAUACCCCUAGAGAAUGGAGAUAUAUAAUCUUCUCCCAAGAAAUAAAUACACUGACAUUCUGCUUACUGAUUCUUUGUAGGUUUAGUUAGAGGGGGUCGCUCCCCUGAAUCUUGUCAGUUCUGAGUGAACAAGAUCACUUUCUUGGAUCCUGGCUUACAUAUACUACCUUGAGCAGCCCACUGUUCUUGUCUGAGAUAAUUUUAACUUCUACACAUUUAGGUCCAAAUAAUACAAUUUAAAGAUUUUCUCUUGGCAAAAAAAAACCUAUUUGAAACAAUUUCUUAAAACUCUAAAAUUUAAAAAAUGUUCCUUAGCAGCUUUAGAGGACAGAUUACAAAUUUUUAUGUUAAAAGGAAAAUACUAAAUAUUAAAGACUAAUACUUAAAUCCUGUAAACAAAUUUAUGUUUAGAAUAUAUAUGUAUUAUAUAUAUAUAAAUAAGUGGUGAAUUAUUUUAGUUCAUUAAAAAAACUAUUCAAUUAAAAACUACCAAUUUCCGAUGUAGAAAAAUACUUGUUUUAUUUUUCACUUUUUCAGCUGAUUUUGAUGGAACUAUGUGGAUACAAGUGAAGCAAGUAUAACCUAAAUUAAACAUACCUCUUGCCACCCUGAUCCCAGAGCACAUCUACACAUCAGAACACUGGUGCUGUAGACUAACUAUAGUUGAAAUAUUAAAAGAAAUAUUUAUUUUGCUUUUAAACAUCGUCAGAAUUUAUUUUUCUUGCAUUCAAUAUUUGUACUUAAAAUGUUCAAUCAACAUUUACAACUUUAAGGUUUUAAAGGUUUUUCUUCAUUCUUAAAUAUUGUGCUAUUAAAAAAGGCAUGAGGGGGCACUUGGGUGGCUCAGUGGAUUAAGCCUCAGAGUUCUGAUUUCGACUCAGGUCAUGAUCUUAGGGUACUGAGACCCUAAGGCUCUGGGCUGGGCAUGGAGCUUGCUUAAGAUUCUCUCUCUGCUACCCGCUGUGCCCCGAUCCACUCACCCAAAUUCACUUUCUCCCUCAAAAUAAAUAAAUAAAUAAAUAAAUAAAUAUUAUUUAUUUAUUGUUUGUUUGUUUGAGACAGAGAGGCUGAGAGCAGAGCAGGGCAGAGGGAGAGGGACAAGCAGACUCCCUGCCAAGCUGGGAGGGGGGCUGGAUUCCAGGACCCUGAGGUUAUGACCAAAGCCAAAGGCAGACACUGAACCUACUGAGCCACCCAGGCACCAGGAGAAUAGUUUUAUUUCACAGAAAUGCACGCUAACUCCAGACCUUAAGAUUUUAUGUACAUAGAUCUACUGUUUUUCAGACUGAACUGUGCUCGUGUAAGGUUGGCAAACUCGCGGCGAAAGUCACGGUUGCUGUUGAAAUCCGGAGGGCGGGCAGAACCAUGUCACUUCGAUCGGGAGGCUUCGCCUGCUGAUGUCAGAAGGGCUGGGGAUGACAGAAGGACUUCGGCUAAACUGUCCUUUCCCGACUUCCAGCCUCCGAGGAGCCUUGGGCUUCGGACAGUCAGCCACACGAGGAGAUGACUGCCCGGGGCCGAAGGAAGACUCCCACGCACCCCCCACCCCGUCCCCUUCUCAAACCCGUCCCCCUUUCUCCUCCCACGCCUCCGCCUCUGACCCCAAGGUCUCCACGUCCAACGCCCCAUGGCCAGGAGGAAGGCCCUUCCGUGGAUUCACCGUAGCUUCUGCUCCCACCUGGGAAGGCUCUGGCGAGCGCGGCAGCACAGCUCACCUCCCUGCACGUCCUGCCCGUGAACUCAACGGAGGGCCCGAAGAGCUGACGUCCCCUAGCGGCCGGAGGCCCCAAUCGCGCGGAGUGGCCCUGGUUCCCUCCAGCUCCACGUCUUCGGGACUGGCCGGUGAAGGCCCGACUCCGGCGACGCGAAGCCGGCAGAGCAGAGAGACAGCGGGAGAGAAGGAUCCUUUCGCCGCAGCCAAGUCCAAGUCUUUCUGAACCGCGGCAGUGAUGAAGACUGGUUACCGGGUAUUGAGCUGCGUCCUGUCGAACCGAUCACUUUAGGCACAGUUUCUCUUAAUCUUCAUAACAUUCUUCAGAUAAAUGCCAUUUUGUAGAUGAUGUUAUAAACUGGGACUCAGAAGCUGAGCCAUUUCCCAAGGUUUCAUGCCAGAAUAUGGCGGAGGCCUGAUUCCAACCCUGCUUGGCCACCCAAAACUGCCUUUCCAACCACUGUACCAGCUAGAGAAUGGGGAAGACUUUCAAUUCCAGGAGCGAAAGGAUUUAAAGUAACAUUUACCACUAGUUUCCUCACUAUAAAAGCCACAGGUGUUCGCUAUUAAAAAUCUGAGUAAUAAAAAACCUUGAUUAAUGUUAAGAAUUUGAACUUAGCCAUCAUUCCACUCCCUACAGGUAGCUACUAUACAUUCCAUUUCCAGUAUUUUUCUGUGAUUGAACGCGUGUGAGCACGCACGUAUGUAUGUGAGAAUAUUUGUGCAGAGUAUAUAUGUAUUAUAAACUAGUUUGGGGGGUGCUACAUUUUUAUCUUAAGACUAUACUGUAGAUUUCCCAAUUUGGGGGUUGUUCAUUGCUAGUAUAUAGAAAUAUUCAUUUUUGUAUGUUGAUCUUGUAUUCCACACUUUGCAGAUUUACUCAUUUUAGUAGUGUAUGUGCAUGUCUGUGUGUGUGCGCGCACGUGCUUUAAGAUUUUCUGUACAGAAUCAUAAGUCUGUGAAUAAAGACAAGUUUCGCGUUUUC